rnacentral:rRNA from 1 species
UGGGGAAUCUUGCGCAAUGGGCGAAAGCCUGACGCAGCGACGCCGCGUGAGCGAUGAAGGCCCUCGGGUUGUAAAGCUCUGUGGGGAGAGAAGAAUAAGGGCAGGCCAACACCCUGUCUGAUGACGGUAUCUCCUUAGCAAGCACCGGCUAACUCUGUGCCAGCAGCCGCGGUAAGACAGAGGGUGCAAACGUUGUUCGGAAUUACUGGGCGUAAAGCGCGUGUAGGCGGCUAUGCAAGUCGGAUGUGAAAGCCCACGGCUCAACCGUGGAAGUGCACUCGAAACUGCGUAGCUAGAGUCCCGGAGAGGAAGGUGGAAUGCUUGGUGUAGAGGUGAAAUUCGUAGAUAUCAAGCGGAACACCGGUGGCGAAGGCGGCCUUCUGGACGGUGACUGACGCUGAGACGCGAAAGCGUGGGGAGCAAACAGGAUUAGAUACCCUGGUAGUCCACGCCGUAAACGAUGAGUGCUAGGUGUCAGGAGCUUUGACCCUUCUGGUGCCGCAGCUAACGCAAUAAGCACUCCGCCUGGGGAGUACGGUCGCAAGGCUA